rnacentral:rRNA from 1 species
GACGAACGCUGGCGGCGUGCUUAACACAUGCAAGUCGAACGAAGUGGCGAACGGGUGAGUAACGCGUAAUCAAACUGCCCUUCAGCGGGGGACAACAGUUGGAAACGACUGCUAAUACCGCAUACUGAAGGAGGGGAUUGCGUCUGAUUAGCUAGUUGGCGGGGUAACGGCCCACCAAGGCGAGGAUCAGGAGCCGUGUUGAGGGGAUGAACGGCCACAAUGGGACCGAGACGCGGCCCAGACGCCUACGGGAGGCAGCAGUGGGGAAUCUUCCGCAAUGGACGAAAGUCUGACGGAGCAACGCCGCGUGAGUGAUGACGGCCUUCGGGUUGUAAAGCUCUGUUAAUCGGGACGCGGUACCGGAAUAGAAAGCCACGGCUAACUACGUGCCAGCAGCCGCGGUAAUUC